rnacentral:lncRNA from 1 species
CCGGAGAUUCGCCUGGCCUUCGAGUUCAUCGCCUUCAUUCGGCUUGGGCUCUUCUCCAAGAUCAACCAAAGUCGCUGUGCUUCUCGAUCGGCUAUGAAGUUGUGGGUAGCGCCCGUGUCCACCAUUGCAUGGGUCGUUUGGCCAUUUAGCUUGAUGUCCACAUACAUCAGCUCACUACUUCCUGCUUUUUAUAACUUUGUCUUCAUGCUCUACCCCACAUGACCCCGCAUAGCGUUCAACAAACGCAUUGCUCCCAUUCGGGGUCCUUGCGACUCCUCGUCGUCGCUGUUGGAUUCAGAACUGCUCGAAUUAAGAGUAACAGCUUUGCCCUUGUCCGAUCAGGGGGGGGGGGUUGGAUGGAAGCCGUCAAAGCAUUGAGUGCCUGUUUUUGUGGGCACUCCCUCACUAUGUGCGGUCCUCCGCACAAGAAACAUCCUCCGGGUUUUGUGGCCUUGCCUUUCUGGUUCGGCCGUUGUGGGAACUCUUCUUCUUUUGCUCGCCCUCGAGCUCCUUCCCUCGAGAAUGUUUUGGAGGGCGAUUACUUGAAGAUUGUUUCCUUCUUGCUGGGUCUUCAGAGGAAACAAAGUCAGUGAGCCUUUCUGCAGUAGCAAUUGCCCCGACCACAUCGGUAACUUUCCUUCGAUUUAGCUCCUGUUGAGCCCAUGGCUUCAAACCAUCGAGGAAGCUAACCAACUUGUCCUUCUCGGACAUGUCCUGUAUGUCCAGCAUUAGUGUAGAAAAUUGUUUCACAUAGUCUCGGAUGGUGGUACUCUGGCGGAGUUGUCUCAACUUCCUUCUUGCGACGAACUCGGUGUUCUCCGGUAGGAACUGAGUUCUCAACUCCCGCUUCAAGUCCACCCAUGUGUCGACUCGACACCGACCUUGUUGGAUCUCCUCCCAACGGGUUCACCACCAAAGUUUCGUAUCUCCGUUCAGAUACAUUGUUGCUAUAGAAACUUUGGUAUCUUCAGAAUCGGGCCUCGUAGCUCGGAAGUAUUGUUCCAUGUCGAACAGAAAGUUCUUGAGCUCUUUGGCAUCUCUGGCCCCUCCAUAUCCAUGAGGCUCAGGUGCCCUCAAAUUUUGUGGCGGUGCAACGCGGGUGUUGCUCCCUCCCGCAUUUAGUGUUCUUGUGAGCAUGGCCACCUUUGCAGUGAGUUCCGCCACAACAUCCUGUAAGUGUUGCACGGAGUCUUUGGUGUCAUCAGACAGUCGGUCGACUAGGGCCUCGACCUUGUCGAUCCUGGACUCCACUUCCUCUUGCGAGCUCUCUACCCCAACAAGCCUUUGUUGGCCUUAGUAGAGUUCCUCCAUGCUCGCCUCAAGAACAUCCAUGCGGGUUUCCGCCGUUGUGAGUCUCUCUUUGUGACUCUUUUUCCCAGUUAGCACUCUAGAUUGCGCUUCCUCCGCUCGCGGAGAGUAGCCAACUUCUCGCUCAUCGUGUUCGCUGCCGCGCUCCUCUUGAGCGGCUCCAAUAGCAUGAGAGCGAGUGUGCACAUGCAGCCCACCUGCGGCUGCUUGGGGCAAUGGUCCGGCUUGCCCCGUCUUGCUUGAUUCGCCACGAUGCUUUGCCAUGGCGAAGUUGCGAAGUUCGUUCGCUGUUCGAUCGAAGAGCUUGCCCGCUCUGAUACCACAAUGUCACGACCUUAGCUGGAAUUGCCUAAGGCGUGAGGCACCCUUGCGGCCAAAGAUGCGAACUUAGCUUGCGUUGCCUAAGUCGCGAGUCUCCCUUGCGGCAUAGACACGAACUUAGCUUCGUUGCCAAAGUCGCGCUUCGCCCUUGCGAUAUUACUCUGCAAGGAUCAGCCCACUUGUAACCUCUCGCAGGUCCCGAAGGACCUGUAAAAGAGAAAGUUGAUUAGUUCGAAAGAACGAGCAACGGACAAGUCCCGAAGUCUCACGAAAAGGGGAAGCUUUACAAGCAAUUCAGCGAGCACCUUGCGUGCACAAGAGAAAAGAGGGAGAGGGGGAAAACAAGGGCUUUAGAAGGUUGAACGAACAGCCGCAAGCCCACAAACAGCCGCUCACCUGGUCCCGGGCGCGACAACAAGUUCCCGUAUAGGCCACGUGCGAACUUGCGAAAGAGAGUUCAACGCCCGGUAUAUAACCGAAGCCCCAUCUAACCCUGUGCCACCCGGGGGCUUCAAAGGGGCUAAGAUGGCUGACGUUUUGGUGAGCGGAGGCAGAUUGCAGAAAUCAGCUCGCGGCACGCGAAAACGGAGCUGUUUUGGGCUGUUUUGGGGAUGUUUUGCUUGGUUCGGUGAGCGGUCGCUUUGUAACGCUGCAGCUUGUUCGAACUUACAUAUUUACAAGCAAAAUGGCCCAAAACCAAGAGAAAACAUUCUGUCAAGCAGUUGUACAUGUAGGUUUGAGCGACGAACUGUCACGAACAGUCGUCGCGCACCCGCAAAACUCCGUUCAAUGAACCGUUCGUCGCUCACACCUGCAUGUACAGCUGCGUGGCAGCAUGUUUUCUCUUAGUUUUGGGUCAUUUUGCUUGUAAAAAUGUAAGUUCGAACAAGCUGCAGCGUUACAAAGCGACUGCUCACCGAACCGAGCGAAACAGCCCCAAAACAACCCAAAACAGCUCCGUUUUCACGUGCCGUGGGAGGGUUGCGGUGAACUGCCUCCGCUCACCAAAACGUAAGCAAUCUCAGCCCCUUUGAACCCCCCGGGUAGCACAAGGCUGGAUGGGGCUUUGGUUAUAUACCGGGCGUUGAACUCUCUUUCGCAAGUUCGCACGUGGCCUUUACGGGAACUUGUAUUCGCGCCUGGGACCAGGUGAGCGGCUGUUUGUGGGCUUGCAGCUGUUCGUUCAUCCUUCUAAAGCCUUGUUUUCUCCCUCUCCCUCUUUUCACUUAUGCACACAAGGUGUUCGUCGAAUUGCUUGUAAAGCUUCCCCUUUUCGCGAGACUUCGGGACUUGUCCGUUGCUCGUUCUUUCGAACUAACUAACUUUCUCUUUUACAGGUCCUUCGGGACCUGCGAGAGGUUACAAGUGGGCUGAUCCUUGCGGAGCAAUAUCGCAAGGGCGAAGCGCGACUUAGGCAACGCAAGCUAAGUUCGCGUCUUUGGCCGCAAGGGUGCCUCACGCCUUAGGCAAUUCCAGCUAAGGUCGUGACAUUGUGGCAUCAGAGCGGGCAAGCACUUCGAGCGAGCAGCGAACGAACUUCGCAACUUCGCCAUGGCAAAGCAUCGUGGCGAAUCAAGCAAGACGGGGCAAGUCGGACCCUUGCCCCAAGCAGCCGCAGGUGGGCUGCAUGUGCACACUCGCUCUCACGCUGUUGGAGCCGCUCCAGAGGAGCGCGACAGCGAACAUGAUGAGCGAGAAGUUGGCUACUCUCCGCGAGCGGAGGAAGCGCAAUCUGGAGCGCUAACUGGGAAAAAGAGUCAUAAGGAGAGACUCACGACGGCGGAAACCCGCCUGGAUGUUCUUAAAGCGAGCAUGGAGGAACUCUACCAUGGCCAACAAAGACUUGUUGGGGUAGAGAGCUCGCAAGAGGAAACAGAGUCCAGGAUCGACAAGGUCGAGGCCCUAGUCGACCGAUUGUCUGAUGACACUAAAGACUCCGUGCAACACUUACAGGAUGUUGUGGCGGAACUCACUGCAAAGGUGGCCAUGCUCACAAGAACACUUAAUGCGGGAGGAAGCAACACCCGCGUUGCACCGCCACAAAAUUUGAGGGCACCUGAGCCUCAUGGAUAUGGAGGGGCCAGAGAUGCCAAAGAGCUCGAGAACUUUCUAUUCGACAUGGAGCAAUACUUCCGAGCUACGAGGCCCGAUUAUGAAGAUACCAAAGUUUCUAUAGCAAUAAUGUAUCUGAACGGAGAUGCGAAACUUUGGUGGCGAACCCGUUGGGAGGAGAUCUAACAAGGUCGGUGUCGAGUCGACACAUGGGAGGACUUGAAGCGGGAGUUGAGAACUCAGUUCCUAUCGGAGAAUACAAAGUUCGUCGCAUGAAGGAAGUUGAGACAACUCCGCCAAAGUACCACCAUCCGAGACUAUGUGAAACAAUUUUCUACACUAAUGCUGGACAUACAGGACAUGUCCGAGAAGGACAAGUUGUUCAGCUUCCUUGAUGGUUUGAAACCAUGGGCUCAACAGGAGCUAAAUCGAAGGAAUGUUACCGAUGUGGUCAGGGAAAUUGCUGCUGCAGAAAGGCUCACCGACUUUGUUUCCUCCGAAGACCCAGCAAGGAGGAAACAAUCUUCAGGCAAUCGCCCUCCAAAACAUUCUCGAGGGAAGGGGCUCGGGGGCGAACAAAAGAAGAAGAGGUCCCACAAAGGGCCGAACCCGAAAGGCAAGGCCUCAAAACCUGGAGGAUGCUUCUUGUGCGGAGGUCCGCACAUGGUAAGGGAGUGCCCACAAAAACAGGCACUCAAUGCUUUGACGACUUCCAUCGACCCCCCCCGAUCGGACAAGGGCAAAGUUGUUGCUCUUAGUUCGAGCAGUUCUGAAUCCAGCAGCGACGACAAGGAGUCGCAAGGACCCCGAAUGGGAGCAAUGCGUUUGUUGAACGCUAUUCGGGGUCAUGUGGGGGAGAACAUGAAGACAAAGGUACAAAAAGCAGGAAGUAGUGAGCUGAUGUACGUGGACAUCAAGCUAAAUGGCCAAACGACCCGUUCAAUGGUGGACACGGGCACUACCCACAACUUCAUAGCCGAUCGUGAAGCACAGCGACUUGGGUUGACCUUGGAGAAGAGCCCAAGCCGAAUGAAGGCGGUGAACUCGGAGGCCAGGCGAAUCUCCGGGUUGGCGAAGGGAGUUCCCAUCAAAAUCGGGACUUGGAGCGGAAACACCAACAUGAUGGCCGUGCCACUGGACGACUUCCAAGUGAUUCUUGGAAUGGAGUUUAUGCACGCGGCGAAGUUGGUGCCGAUGCCGUUCUUGAACUCCCUAUGUAUGAUGGGAGGCGAUGACCCCUGCGUGGUUCCCGUCUCUCGGAGAGGAACUAAGGAGCCCCAACACAUUUCGGCAUUACAACUGAAGAAAGGGGUGCGAAAAGGCGAAUUGACAUUCGUGGCUGUUAUGAAGCUAGAGCCACUCAACGAGGAGGCCAUUCAAGAACCUGCUGUGGUGGCGAACAUCUUAAAAGAGUUCAAAGACGUUAUGCCACCCGAGUUGCCGAAGACUCUUCCACCACGCAGAGGCGUGGAUCACAUCAUCGCGCUGGAGCCAGGAGUGAAGCCUCCGGCGUGACCACCCUACCGCAUGCCCCCAC